UACGAAGGGGGCUAGCGUUGUUCGGAAUUACUGGGCGUAAAGGGCGCGUAGGCGGUUUGCUAAGUUGAAUGUGAAACUCUGGGCUUAACCCAGAGCCUGCAUUCAAUACUGGCAGGCUAGAGUUCUGGAGGGGAUAGCGGAAUUCCUGGUGUAGCGGUGAAAUGCGUAGAUAUCAGGAGGAACACCGGUGGCGAAGGCGGCUAUCUGGACAGAGUCUGACGCUGAGGCGCGAAAGCUAGGGGAGCAAACAGG
rnacentral:rRNA from 1 species